rnacentral:rRNA from 1 species
GACGAACGCUGGCGGCGUGCCUAAUACAUGCCAGUAGAACGCUGAAGAGAGGAGCUUGCUCCUCUUGGAUGAGUUGCGAACGGGUGAGUAACGCGUAGGUAACCUGCCUUGCAGCGGGGGAUAACUAUUGGAAACGAUAGCUAAUACCGCAUAACAAUGGAUGACACAUGUCAUUUAUUUGAAAGGGGCAAUUGCUCCACUACAAGAUGGACCUGCGUUGUAUUAGCUAGUAGGUGAGGUAAUGGCUCACCUAGGCGACGAUACAUAGCCGACCUGAGAGGGUGAUCGGCCACACUGGGACUGAGACACGGCCCAGACUCCUACGGGAGGCAGCAGUAGGGAAUCUUCGGCAAUGGGGGCAACCCUGACCGAGCAACGCCGCGUGAGGGAAGAAGGUUUUCGGAUCGUAAAGCUCUGUUGUAAGUCAAGAACGGGUGUGAGAGUGGAAAGUUCACACUGUGACGGUAGCUUACCAGAAAGGGACGGCUAACUACGUG